AAUCAACGCUGGCGGCGUGCCUAACACAUGCAAGUCGCACGAGAAAGUGGAGCAAUCCAUGAGUACAGUGGCGCACGGGUGAGUAACACGUGAAUCAUCUACCUCCGAGUGGGGAAUAACCUAGGGAAACCUGGGCUAAUACCGCAUAACACUUACGAGUCAAAGCAGCAAUGCGCUUGGAGAGGAGUUCGCGGCAGAUUAGCUAGUUGGGGGGUAAUGGCCUACCAAGGCGAUGAUCUGUAUCCGGCCUGAGAGGGCGCACGGACACACUGGAACUGAAACACGGUCCAGACUCCUACGGGAGGCAGCAGUGGGGAAUUUUGCGCAAGUGGGGGAAACCCUGACGCAGCAACGCCGCGUGGAGGAUGAAA
rnacentral:rRNA from 1 species